rnacentral:lncRNA from 1 species
CUAGCAUUCAUUAUCUAUUCAAUAUCUAUUAAGCAUACUUGAAAUCAUCAGCUCUGGAGCAUAUUAAAGAAUCAGACUACAUUAGAAAUAUUUAAAGUCUAAUCCUUUUAGAGCGAAAUUGAUUUUAUCUUCUGUUUACCUAGAUAACAAGUUCAACUUCUGAUACUGAUUUACCCAAGCUGUGCAAAUUCUUAGAAGACACUAUUUUAGUUCAGUUUAGUCCUAUGCCAUCCAAACAGAAAUCAAAGGUAUUUGAAAUUACUAAUAUUACUACAGAGGCUACCAUGUUUGUACCUCAGCCUUACAUUUUGCCAGGGACUUUCUUACCCUUGGUUAUGGAAGAAUCUCAGAAAUUCUGCUCAUCUAGAAAAGAUGCAUGGAAUGUCAUGUAGGUAAGUAAGUGCUGUGAGCCAUCAAUAUCAAAGAUGGUACCAGCUGCCGGGGGAUUCAGUGCCAAGUGGGAUGGCUAAUCAUGGCCCCAUGGGAGAGUUUGGAGGCAGAAGAGAGCACUGUGGCUGGAGGCAUCAAGGAUGGCACUGGGGGUUGGCUCUGGUCUCAGCCUGUGGAAGGUUAAUCUAUCUCCAGGAUUUCAUUAAGUUGUUUCCAGGAUUUCAUUAACCC